CUUUUCACAAGGCGGACAGCUGCUUGUUGCUUUUGUGCUAGAUUCUCUGUCGUGGGGUAUAAGAAGAGCGAGGAGCGAUGCUGAUAGAUGAGCUCCCUUGAGGUUGACUUUAAACCUCAUGUUUGAUGUGCUGGUUAUCAUGAGAGAUCAUAAAGACGGGAAAGUGAAGAAGAAAGAAGGUUAAGAAGAGCUCAAUGCUACUUCUGCAGCCCAGCCUACAGGCUCACAGCUGGGAGGCACUUCUGCUCUGCCCUGGGCCUUUCUUGGAGGAGUCAGUGGUGCGUUCACAUAGACACACAAACACACACACACACACACACACACACACACACACACACACACACACACACACACACAUUCCCUGCACUGAAAGUCAGGAAGAGUAUAGAAGAAAAGUGGUUUGAGCUUUAAUGCAAAGUAUGCUGAUAGCAAUAUUCAGCAAGAGCUAAUUAGGCCUCAAAAAAUAAUAAUAAUCACAAAAGUCACUAGUUAAAAUCUUAGUUUGUAGCUGACCAUUCAAAAGGUAAAUGAGUAGCUCCACU